rnacentral:precursor_RNA from 15 species
UUGAUAUGUGCACUUUUCUAGAUCGUUAUCGCGUUUGGAAUGGUCUCGUUAGCUAACGAAUGGACUAAAAUGCAAUUUGCAAUUCGGCGCCAAUUAUCCAGGCGCCAAAAAGUUUAGUUUCGAGACCACUCUAAUCCAUUGCAUGAUCUUCACUUGUAUGCAAAUUUUAC